GACGUAGGGCGCGAGCGUUGUCCGGAUUUAUUGGGCGUAAAGAGCUCGUAGGCGGCUUGUCGCGUCGAAUGUGAAAACUUGGGGCUCAACUCCAAGCUUGCAUUCGAUACGGGCAGGCUAGAGUUCGGUAGGGGAGACUGGAAUUCCUGGUGUAGCGGUGAAAUGCGCAGAUAUCAGGAGGAACACCGGUGGCGAAGGCGGGUCUCUGGGCCGAUACUGACGCUGAGGAGCGAAAGCGUGGGGAGCGAACAGG
rnacentral:rRNA from 2 species